rnacentral:lncRNA from 1 species
CCCUGUGCUGACAUUACAGCGCUGGCGACAAUGACCUGAUGACCCGUGUAUUAUGAUAAGGUUCCUAUUGUGUGCAAAUGAGCGAACGCAAAGCGGUUUGGCUUCCUGAGAGUGUGUUUCCUUCAUAAUUCAUGUCGGACCUGUGCAUCAUGGCACUGUGCAUGUCAUCUUCAGCUGUGUUCGCUUUUGAUGCUUGAGGCGGGAGGCCUAAUGUGAAUUGUUUGAAUCUGAAGAAACCCAACUAGAACUCCCGCAUACAUCCCGGUAGUCUCUGGCAUUCUGCAGAAUACAAAUCAAUUUUCUGCAGGUACAGACAGAAAUUUGAUAUCUUCCAUUUCCAGAAUCCAGAGGAUAAUCUUUCAAAAGAAAAUCUACAGAUAUCAAGAAUGCCUCAUCGAACUGAUUCCGGACUGUCCACGCACCCUAUGCACCAGAUCAACAAUACCACUAAUGUCAACAGCGCCACCAUACGACGACAUCGUUUAAACUGUUCGACAAUAUCGGAAUUGUCGAAGCGGUCUCGUGAGAAUGUACCAGAUCGAGAUGUCAAUAAAUGCCAUGUUGAAGUUGGUGCUAAAAACCCAUGGGGACCGUACUUCAAAAGCAGAACAGACUUUCUGGAUUUGCACCUUGUGUGAAGAAACGUGGGAAAAAGAUAAAGACUCCUGGGCCACAAGUGGUUAAAUCAUGGAGCUGUAAUCCUUUUUAUAGCUCCAUGGUUAAAUGGACUGAUGUUUAACUUGAGAACAAGCAGUGGAAAUCUUUACAAAUUGGACGAAACAAUGGAUGAUUUAAAAAGAGGAUGAGUGUAUUAAGACCCAAAGAGACUUAGGGCUAUCGAGUCCCUAUUUAAAAUUGGCGUUCCGUCUUACCACGAAAUAGUUGGGUUCCUGCGGCGUUGCUGUCGGGAAUAAUCCUUAAAGACUAAUAUCAUCUAAGAAUUCAAAACUAGGGCCGCCGAGUACUCCUUUAUGUGUCACAAAGAUUUAAAAAGAAAAAGUUGUCUAUGUCUUACAACGCUUAGCUAAGAUCCUCAGUCUUUAUGGUAGUUUGAAAAUCGUUCAUUAUGACUGAAAAUCCUCUUAUCCUUCGCGUUUUACGAUAAUCUUUUAAAAGUUUUUGUUAGCAAUUACGGCUUCAUUCUUUUUCAGUGUUCGAAGAUGAUGAAUUUUCAUAACGUUUUUUUGGUCAUAUCCAAGCCUGUUAAUUGCUGCUGAACAUGACACUGCACGACACUUUAGUUACUUGUUGUAUGCGUAUAUAUAUCAUUAGCCAAUUCGCCCUUUCUCUAGCUUUUGAUAAUUCUUUUUUGACUGAACUAGUUGUGCCUUCUUUAAUAUUAUUUUUUCAUUUUGUACGUGUAUUAACUGACCGUCAAUUGUUAUUUAUCAUGUUUUAUGACAAUGGGGCAAAUCCAGUUUGGUGGAACGUUGGUACUGUGUGAUGCAAUUGGGUGCUGUGUAUUUGCUUGUAUAUGCAUAAUAUACAUUUUCAUGAGCACUGCGUAAUGCUGUUAAUUGAGAGAACAGCUGAUAUUUUUUGCAGAAAAAAAAUCAAUUCGCGUCCAAUUUCACAUCUUGCUCGUUCGGUUAGGCGAAACUUUCAUUCAAAUUCCUAUGAAAAUGGGCAAUCGUUUUCAAUCCAGACUCAGUUUAGCGAAAGUUCCAAAUAUUUCAGGGUAUAUCUUCAUUCGCGUGUAGAAAGUAUGCAGCAAAGCGCCAGGUUUACGACAUUUGGGUUUCAGUCCUGCUGAGAAAUUAAAUUUGGUGCAUAGGAUUACGUUUAUAAGUGGCAGUUGCAUUUUAUAGCAAGAUGUUAGGCAUAUGUUUUAAAAACCCAGUCUACAUGCUUACAGCUUCAGGACAAGACCCAGACCCGACUCUAUUGUCUCUCCACUCAUGCGAUGCGAAAUAGGUGUCGUUUCCCCAUGACAAUUAACAUUCCAUUUGGUGAAAGAACGACAAAGGUAAUCCUCGAAGGAAUGUCCAUUAACUGGCAAAAGACACUUCCACAUAAAAGCCGUCUUCCGACAGUAUGAAAGAAAUGUCUCCAGCAUUAGACCGUGAUGCUGGUGGUCUCGACAAAGCAAACUAUUUGGUCAUUCAGGUUAACAUCCGCGAGAUCGAUAUACGAUCCCUGUCUGCAUUCCUAAAUCGUGUCUACCCACAUUAAUAGAUAUUGUUGAAAAGCUGCGUCUGGCCAAUACAAAAGUUUGUUUUGAUACGAAAUUGAUCCUUCUAUUGGUGACUGAUCAUCCGAAACUCCCGUUUCGCUUUCAACAAGAGAUUGAAAGUGUAGUAGGGCCUAUGUUAUACAUGUAUACUGUAACUUGUGGAAAUGUAUUACUGCUGCCUGCGUUCCAUAGCUAUGACUAUAGCUAUGCCCUCCAAUCCACCUUUGUCUCAAAGGCCAAUGCAUCUCGGACAGUGCCCCGCAUGCUUGAAAUAGGGGGAUUAGUAUGUGCCAACAUUUUUGGUUUGUAGAUCACGUGCGUUUGCAGAAUUUGCUUUUUAAAUAUAUAUUAUAUAUAGGCCUAAUGUAAAUAAUUUUAUUUACAAAUCAGUUUUUCUACGGAAUUAUGUUAAAUUGCUGAAUGCAAACGAGGGACAUAAAUAUAGUAAAGCAAAUAUAAAGUUAUAAUGCAUAAACCUGUCAAUGAACAAAAACUGAA